UAGAGGUAUCCGGAAGGGUCCUAUUUAUACUGGGUGAGAGGGCACUACCAUAAGGAAAGGAAAUAAACAAUGAGUCAAUUAUAAUAAAUUUUCCUUAUUUUAAAGGAGAGCCAAAAUUAGACUUAUUUUGAUUUAUUUUUUACCAUAUAUAAACAAGUAAGAAAUCUACCAAUUUUAAUUAAGGUAACAUGCUCAAUUUACAGACAGAUGAUAUGUGAAAUCAAGUAAGACAAGUGAUAAUUGAUUCAAAGGGAAUGCAUGAUUACAGCUCAAAAUACGUCAAUCGGGCAAGUAAAAAUAGAGUGGCAUACGGUAAGAAUUAAUUUCAAAUUGUCAAUUAGGUGACAAGUUAAACCAGCAAGCAUUAGUCCAAAUAUAAGACAAAGAAUCCAAUAAAGGUAUCAACUAAAAUCGGAAUUAUGGAGAAAUUCAAGCAAGGAGACCUAUAUGUAUAUAUUUUAUGUAGAAGGAAGGACAGUGAAGGCUUAUCGAUUUUGUUAUAUCAAGAAGGCGUAAAUAUAUUAAUCGUAUCCUAUAAACAGUUUACACCAACAGUCAUUGUCACAAGAGCAAUAUUGAUAAACAAAUAAAGGUAUAAUCACAAUGAUCAUGAAGCUAAUUAAAAUCUCUAUCCAAAUCUGCCAAAAUCAGAUUCAAGAUGGAGGAAAACAAGCAAGAGGAACAUUAUGCAAUUUCUUGCUAUACUAUUAUUAAUAGCAACUCCCAACUCAAUCACAUAUAGCUUGAACAUCAAAACCAUAUUAAACCGUGGCAAAAUUACACUUAAAU
rnacentral:lncRNA from 1 species